GGGGUCCUUCAUUUCAGAAUUCUUCACUUUUUAGGCCUUUUUUCUCUAUUCUUUAUACUUUUUGUUCAUUAUUCUCUAUUCUCUAUAUUAAAGCAUUUAUUCUUUAUUUUAUUUUUCCAUUUUUCUCUAUUCAUAAUAUUUUUGCCCAUUAUUUUCUAUUCCAUAACCCCCCAAUCCACACCCUCUUAAAUCACGUUACUCAUUUCCUGUGGAUAAAACCAGUGUAAAUGUACAUACAAUUCUUAAUCCUCAACUCUCUAUAUAUAUUGAAAGUCAAACAUAGCAGAUAAGAUGAUGUUAUUUAGAAAGUUAAAUCAAAGUGCUGUAUGAGGCUCUAUAAAUACAAUUCAAAUUAAAU
rnacentral:lncRNA from 1 species